CGGCGGAACACGUGAAAUUCCGUCGGAAUCCGGGAGGACCAUCUCCCAAGGCUAAAUACUCCCUAGUGACCGAUAGUGAACCAGUACCGUGAGGGAAAGGUGAAAAGCACCCCGGAAGGGGAGUGAAACAGUUCCUGAAACCGUGUGCCUACAAGUAGUUAGAGCCCGUUAAUGGGUGAUAGCGUGCCUUUUGUAGAAUGAACCGGCGAGUUACGAUUUGUUGCAAGGUUAAGCGGAAAAAGCGGAGCCGUAGCGAAAGCGAGUCUGAAUAGGGCGCAUAAGUAACAGGUCGUAGACCCGAAACCAGGUGAUCUACCCAUGUCCAGGAUGAAGGUAAGGUAAUACUUACUGGAGGUCCGAACCCACGCACGUUGAAAAGUGCGGGGAUGAGGUGUGGGUAGCGGAGAAAUUCCAAUCGAACUUGGAGAUAGCUGGUUCUCUCCGAAAUAGCUUUAGGGCUAGCCUCGAGGUAAAGAGUCAUGGAGGUAGAGCACUGUUUGGACUAGGGGCCCUUCUCGGGUUACCGAAUUCAGAUAAACUCCGAAUGCCAUGUACUUAUACUCGGGAGUCAGACUGCGAGUGAUAAGAUCCGUAGUCGAAAGGGAAACAGCCCAGACCACCAGUUAAGGUCCCCAAAUAUAUGUUAAGUGGAAAAGGAUGUGGGGUUGCUUAGACAACCAGGAUGUUGGCUUAGAAGCAGCCACCAUUGAAAGAGUGCGUAAUAGCUCACUGGUCGAGUGACCCCGCGCCGAAAAUGUACCGGGGCUAAACAUAUUACCGAAACUGUGGAUGAACCUCUUUAGAGGUUCGUGGUAGGAGAGCGUUCUAAGGGCGGUGAAGUCAGACCGGAAGGACUGGUGGAGCGCUUAGAAGUGAGAAUGCCGGUAUGAGUAGCGAAAGAAGGGUGAGAAUCCCUUCCACCGAAUAUCUAAGGUUUCCUGAGGAAGGCUCGUCCGCUCAGGGUUAGUCGGGACCUAAGCCGAGGCCGAUAGGCGUAGGCGAUGGACAACAGGUAGAGAUUCCUGUACCAGUGCUAAUUGUUUAACCGAUGGGGUGACACAGAAGGAUAGGGAAUCGCACGAAUGGAAAUGUGCGUCCAAGCAGUGAGUGUGAGAAGUAGGCAAAUCCGCUUCUCGCGAAGCAUGAGCUGUGAUGGGGAAGGAAAUUAAGUACGGAAGUUCCUGAUUUCACGCUGUCAAGAAAAGCCUCUAGGAAGAGUAGUACUGCCCGUACCGCAAACCGACACAGGUAGAUGAGGAGAGAAUCCUAAGGUGAGCGAGAGAACUCUCGUUAAGGAACUCGGCAAAAUGACCCCGUAACUUCGGGAGAAGGGGUGCUCUAUUAGGGUGCAAGCCCGAGAGAGCCGCAGUGAAUAGGCCCAGGCGACUGUUUAGCAAAAACACAGGUCUCUGCAAAACCGUAAGGUGACGUAUAGGGGCUGACGCCUGCCCGGUGCUGGAAGGUUAAGAGGAGUGCUUAGCUUCGGCGAAGGUACGAAUUGAAGCCCCAGUAAACGGCGGCCGUAACUAUAACGGUCCUAAGGUAGCGAAAUUCCUUGUCGGGUAAGUUCCGACCCGCACGAAAGGCGCAACGAUCUGGGCACUGUCUCAACGAGAGACUCGGUGAAAUUAUAGUACCUGUGAAGAUGCAGGUUACCCGCGACAGGACGGAAAGACCCCGUGGAGCUUUACUGCAACCUGAUAUGGAAUGUUUGUACCGCUUGUACAGGAUAGGUAGGAGCCGAAGAGACGUGUGCGCUAGCAUACGAGGAGGCAAUGGUGGGAUACUACCCUGGCUGUAUGACCAUUCUAACCCGCCACGCUUAGCGCGUGGGGAGACAGUGUCAGGUGGGCAGUUUGACUGGGGCGGUCGCCUCCUAAAGAGUAACGGAGGCGCCCAAAGGUUCCCUCAGAAUGGAUGGAAAUCAUUCGCAGAGUGUAAAGGCACAAGGGAGCUUGACUGCGAGACUGACAAGUCGAGCAGGGACGAAAGUCGGGCUUAGUGAUCCGGUGGUUCCGCAUGGAAGGGCCAUCGCUCAACGGAUAAAAGCUACCCCGGGGAUAACAGGCUUAUCUCCCCCAAGAGUCCACAUCGACGGGGAGGUUUGGCACCUCGAUGUCGGCUCGUCGCAUCCUGGGGCUGUAGUCGGUCCCAAGGGUUGGGCUGUUCGCCCAUUAAAGCGGCACGCGAGCUGGGUUCAGAACGUCGUGAGACAGUUCGGUCCCUAUCCGUCGCGGGCGCAGGAAAUUUGAGAGGAGCUGUCCUUAGUACGAGAGGACCGGGAUGGACACACCGCUGGUGUACCAGUUGUUCCGCCAGGAGCAUCGCUGGGUAGCUAUGUGUGGCAGGGAUAAACGCUGAAAG
rnacentral:rRNA from 1 species